rnacentral:rRNA from 1 species
AGUGAACGCUGGCGGUAGGCCUAACACAUGCAAGUCGAACGGCAGCACAGUAAGAGCUUGCUCUUACGGGUGGCGAGUGGCGGACGGGUGAAGAAUCCAUCGGAAUCUACUUUUCAGUGGGGGAUAACGUAGGGAAACUUACGCUAAUACCGCAUACGACCUACGGGUGAAAGCAGGGGAUCUUCGCACCUUGCGCGAUUGAAUGAGCCGAUGUCGGAUUAGCUAGUUGGCGGGUUAAAGGCCCACCAAGGCGACGAUCCGUAGCUGGUCUGAGUGGAUGAUCAGCCACGCUGGAAGUGAAAGACGGGCCAGACUCCGACGGGAAGAAGGAGUGGGGAAUAUUGGAAAAUGGGCGCAAGCCUGAUCCAGCCAUACCGGGUGGGUGAAGAAGGCAUUGGGGUUGGAAAGCCCUAUUGUUGGGAGAGAAAAGCAGCAUGUUAAUGACACGCUGUUCUGACGGUACCCAAAGAAUAAGCACCGGCUAACUUCGUG